GCUGUAGGACAGGGGCAGAACAUCUGCUUUGUAUGCAGAAGGUCCCAGAUUCAAUCCCUGGCUUCUCCA